CAAUAGCGUAUAUUUAAGUUGCUGCAGUUAAAAAGCUCGUAGUUGGAUUUCGGGUGGGAAUGGCCGGUCCGCCGUUUCGGUGUGCACUUGCUACGCCCACCUUGCUGCAGGGGACGUGCUCUUGAGUUCACGCUCGGGACACGGAGUCGGCGAGGUUACUUUGAGUAAAUUAGAGUGUUCAAAGCAGGCCUACGCUCUGAAUACAUUAGCAUGGAAUAACACGAUAGGACUCUGGCCUAUCUUGUUGGUCUGUAGGACCGGAGUAAUGAUUAAGAGGGACAGUCGGGGGCAUUCGUAUUUCAUUGUCAGAGGUGAAAUUCUUGGAUUUAUGAAAGACGAACUACUGCGAAAGCAUUUGCCAAGGAUGUUUUCAUUAA
rnacentral:rRNA from 1 species